rnacentral:rRNA from 1 species
ACGGAAGGCAGCAGUGAGGAAUAUUGGUCAAUGGGCGGAAGCCUGAACCAGCCAAGUCGCGUGAAGGAUGAAGGUAUUAUGUAUUGUAAACUUCUUUAGACGCAGAGAAAUAAGGAGGUCGAGACCUCUGAUGCUAGUAUGCGUAGAAUAAGGAUCGGCUAACUCCGUGCCAGCAGCCGCGGUAAUACGGAGGAUCCGAGCGUUAUCCGGAUUUAUUGGGUUUAAAGGGUGCGCAGGCGGUCUUUUAAGUCAGUGGUUAAAUCGUGAGGCUCAACCUCAUCACGCCAUUGAUACUGGAGGACUGGAUUGCGGUUGAGGUUGGCGGAAUUCGCCGUGUAGCGGUGAAAUGCAUAGAUAUGGCGAAGAACUCCGAUUGCGUAGGCAGCUGACCAAGCCGUAAAUGACGCUCAUGCACGAAAGUGCGGGGAUCGAACAGGAUUAGAUACCCUGGUA